ACAGCUUUGGACAAAAGUCUAUAGCCAGUGCAUUUGAAACUCCCCUUGCACAAGGGCUGACUGUAGCUGGGGAAAGACAGUUUACUCAUUUGCUCUCUCCUUUCAUACAGUUAGCUGGCCCUCUUCUCAGGUGUAGAUCACCUAUUAUCAUUUCACCUGUUUUGAUUCUCUGAUGAGGCAAGUCCCAGGACUUAUCAGCAGGGAUAGGCCUCAUUGCCAAGACAGCUCU
ensembl:misc_RNA